AAUAUGGAGGGAAGAUAAAUCCGAGAAACUUUAUAUCUCAGUCUACUUCUUAAUGGACUGAGAUAUAAAGUUUCUCGGAUUUAUCUUCCCUCCAAUAUUU
rnacentral:pre_miRNA from 1 species